GACCGCGUAGCUCAGUUGGAAGAGCAUUGGGCUAGUAUUCCAAAGGUCGUAGGUUCGAAUCCCGCAGUGGCCA